GCUUAACACAUGCAAGUCGAGCGAGAAUCGUUUAUUGAAGGCUUCGGCUGGAAAUAGAUGAGGAAAGCGGCGAACGGGUGAGUAACGCGUGGGCAACCUGGCCUUAAGAAAAGGAUAGCCCCCGGAAACGGGGAGUAAUACUUUAUGAGAAUGAAAGAGGGCAUCCUACUUUCAUUCAAAGCGCAAGCGCUUAAGGAUGGCCCGCGUAUCAUUAGCUAGUUGGUGAGAUAACAGCCCACCAAGGCAACGAUGAUUAGCCGGUCUGAGAGGGCGAACGGCCACAUUGGAACUGAGAGACGGUCCAAACUACUACGGGAGGCAGCAGUGGGGAAUAUUGCGCAAUGGAGAAGAACUCUGACGCAGCAAUACCGCGUGAGCGAAGAAGGUCUUCGGAUCGUAAAGCUCUGUUAUCAGGGAAGAAGAAAAUGACGGUACCUGAUGAGCAAGUCCCGGCUAACUACGUGCCAGCCGCCGCAGUAAUAC
rnacentral:rRNA from 1 species